AGCGGCGGACGGGUGAGUAAUGCGUAGGAAUCUACCCUUUUGUGGGGGAUAGCCCGGAGAAAUCCGGAUUAAUACCGCAUAAGCUCUUCGGAGGAAAGUGGGGGAUCUUCGGACCUCACGCUGAAGGAUGAGCCUACGUUGGAUUAGCUUGUUGGUGGGGUAAAGGCCUACCAAGGCGACGAUCCAUAGCUGGUCUGAGAGGAUGAUCAGCCACACCGGGACUGAGACACGGCCCGGACUCCUACGGGAGGCAGCAGUGGGGAAUAUUGGACAAUGGGCGCAAGCCUGAUCCAGCCAUGCCGCGUGUGUGAAGAAGGCUCUAGGGUUGUAAAGCACUUUAAGCAGGGAAGAAACGCUGUUGGUUAAUAACCAUCAGUACUGACGGUACCUGCAGAAUAAGCACCGGCUAACUCCGUGCCAGCAGCCGCGGUAAUACGGAGGGUGCAAGCGUUAAUCGGAUUUACUGGGCGUAAAGCGUGCGUAGGCGGCUACGUAAGUCAGUUGUGAAAGCCCCGGGCUUAACCUGGGAACUGCAAUUGAUACUGCGUGGCUAGAAUUCGGUAGAGGAAGGUGGAACUCCAGGUGUAGCGGGUGAAUGCGUAGAUAUCUGGGAGAUCAUCAAUGGCGAAGGCAUCCUUCUGGUCUGAGUGACGCUGAGGUACGAAGCGUUGAGAGCAAACAGGAAUAGAUACCCUGGUUGUUC
rnacentral:rRNA from 1 species